rnacentral:rRNA from 1 species
GAUGAACGCUAGCUACAGGCUUAACACAUGCAAGUCGAGGGGAAACGACAUUGAAGCUUGCUUCGAUGGUCGUCGACCGGCGCACGGGUGAGUAACGCGUAUCCAACCUGCCUCUGACCAAGGGAUAACCCGUCGAAAGUCGGCCUAAUACCUUAUGCAGUCGUCGGAAGUCAUCUGAUGACGACGAAAGAUUUCAUCGGUGAGAGAUGGGGAUGCGUCUGAUUAGCUUGUUGGCGGGGUAACGGCCCACCAAGGCAACGAUCAGUAGGGGUUCUGAGAGGAAGGUCCCCCACAUUGGAACUGAGACACGGUCCAAACUCCUACGGGAGGCAGCAGUGAGGAAUAUUGGUCAAUGGGCGAGAGCCUGAACCAGCCAAGUAGCGUGCAGGAUGACGGCCCUAUGGGUUGUAAACUGCUUUUAUGCGGGGAUAAAGUGAGGGACGUGUCCUUCAUUGCAGGUACCGCAUGAAUAAGGACCGGCUAAUUCCGCG